rnacentral:lncRNA from 1 species
UAUCUUUAUUUUUACGUGGUGCUGAGAAUUGAACCCAGUGCCUCACGCAUGCUAGGUAAGCACGCUACCACUGAGCCACAUCCCCAGCCCCUCAUUAUACUCUUUACACAGUUAACCAGGCCUAAUGCCAGGGACCAACUCACUGCCGGGGCCAACUGCAAGUCCAGGGCUCUUCAGUAGCACCCUCCGGUCCAGCACUCACUCAAGGGACUCAGAGAACUCAGGAAGCUGUUAUAUUUUUAGUUAGUCUGCUGCAGGGAGAAGAUGCAGGAUAAAAUCAGCCCGAGCCAGAAGCCCGUGGGACAGAGUGCAGGCGAGGUCCAGACCCAUAGACAGGGACCUCUUGUGGUCAGAAUCACAUUGUUAGACCAUGUGGUUUGGCCUGUGGCCUAAGCCAGUGGGCAUUCUUUUUUUUUUUAAUAUUUUGUUGUAGUUGGACACGAUACCUUUAUUUUGUUUGUUUAUUUUUAUGUGGUGCGGAGGAUCGAACCCAGGGCCUCACAGGUGCGAGCAAGCCCUCCACCACUGAGCCCAGCCCCAGCCCCAGUGGGCGUUCUUGUCAGCAGGACCUUCCAGUGGCUUAGGGUGAUCUCCAGGAGUCAAGACCCCUCUUUGGGCCGUGCAGGUUUCCUGUGCUCAGGGCGGUCAGGACCUGCUUACUCAGGGGCAGCAGGGACCUGAGCUCCUCUGGGGUCUGCUCCGACCUUGCUGCUGGCCCUGGCCUGCUCUUUGGGUUCUCCUCUCACUGUUGUCCCUGGAGCUUCUGGAUGGGUCCCGAGUUACCCCUGUGGCAGGGUCACGCUCCAUAGUGCACAGACCCUCGUGUUCCGAGGCGUCCCCUGAUGCCUCCCUUACAAGGCCCUGCAGCUGUCAUGGGGGCUCACAUGACAUCUGCAGUGCCAGGGGCAUCUGUGCCCACACCUGCCCCUACUGCAGGUCACCUCAGGCCCUCUGCUGCUCUCUAGGCAGUCAGCUGCCAGCCCAACCCACCUGAUCCUGUAGGCACGCGUGUCACUGGGGUAGCAUGAGCUAGGGGUGCUCUGAAGAGGCCUCGCUGGGAUGGUGAUGUCCAACCUCUGCAGAGACUUUCUCAAGAUGAGGGAGAAGCCUCCCAAGGGAGCAGUACGUGCAGAGGGCUUUGGGUGGGAGCAGAGGCCAAUGUCUCUGGGGACAGGGUGGCGUUGGGAUGGAGGCAGUGCUGGCUCUGGGGCCAGUGUAGCUUGUUUCAGCAUGUUGGACUGGCCACGCCUUCGAGCCACCAGGAGUGCUUAUGGAGCAGGGCUGGACAUGCCGCUGAGGACUCCCAGGAGUGUCUGGGUGAAGGCUCACAUCAGGGACCAUGGCCAGGGCAGUGGUGCCCCCCAGGAAACCAUGCACCAAGAGCAGCCGGCCCUGAAGCAGUGCAUCCCCAGGCCAGGCAGAUCUCAGGCAGAGAGAGACACCAGGAGGCUGAGUCUAGUCCUGGGCGGCCGUUGGCCAGUGUUCAGGGGGCUGAGGGCAGGGCGAUUUGGGGUGGGCCCUUCAGCAGGACUGCUUGCAUAGACUUGGGUGAGGCCGAUGGAAGUGGACGGAGAAGGGAAGGAGUGAGACAGGGUGACUGAUGAAGGGCUGUGGGAGUGGGGGCCGUGGGGAAGAAGGAAGAGAGGCCCCCGACAGAGCUGGGCUCGUCCACCACUGGAGGAGGAUGCUGCAGGGGCUAAUGGGGCUUCUGCAGCCCAGGGACCAAAUAGCACAGGUGCAGGUGAGGACACAGCUGCAGGCACUGAUAGAGGUGUAGGUGCAGGUGUGGCCACAGGUAGAGGUAUAAGCAUACGUACAGGUGCAGGUGUAGGUGUGGGUACUGGCACAGUUAGGAGCUGAGGCGCAGGUGUGGGUGUGGUUGCAAGGUGGGUGUAGGUGCAGGCAUGUGUGCCGUGCAGGUGUGGGCAGGGGGAGGAAUAAGGCCCCUGUCUGCCGGCUGGAUUGGCAUGACAGUCUCUGUCUGGCCCCUUCCUGACCUGUUGGUUCUGGGCAGGUGAAACGGGCUGUGGUGCAGGUGAUCAGCGCCAUGGCUCACCAUGGCUACCUGGAGCAGCCCGGAGGCGAGGUGAUGAUUGAGUACAUCGUGCAACAGUGUGCGCUGCCCCCUGAGCAGGAGGUAAGGGCCACGCCUCACCCACCAGCCUCACCCACCAGCUCUGGGCCCAGCAGCUGCUAGGCUCUUUGGCCUACAUUGCCCCAACCUCUGUUAGUGCUCGUCACCAGGAGCUGCUGUCCCAGCAGUAGGUGGCCAUGUGACCUGAGUCUGUGCACGGAGGUUCCCUGUUUCUGAGUCGGGGUCUCUGCGCCUUGAGUCCACUGGCAGCUCCCAAAACUCAGAAGAGGCAGAAAGCAGAGACGUGGUUCUCUUUGGGGCUUUUCUGUCUUAAAAGCUGGUAAAUAAGUCAGUUUCUUCUUGAAAAGUAGCAGGUGACUGGUAAAAGUAAAGGGCAGGUGGGGAGGCCCUGGGUCCCUCCAGAGCACUGCAGUGAUCUAGAAGCUGGGUGUGGCCUGGGAAGGUUUAGUAAAAAUUGGGUUUGUCCCUGAGGUCAGCUCUCACACUGGUAACAGCCACUGCCUGUGUUCAUCUUUUUUUUUUUUUUUUCGGGGGGGGGCGGGUACUGGGGAUGACAGGGCGUGUGCCAUGCCCCCGGCCCUCUUACUUUUCUUUAAGUCAGUCUCACUAAGGUGUAUUUGCAUACAGGAAAAUGCACCCUUUAAACUGCCACAUGUGCUUUUGAUGACAGUCACACAAGCACUGUGUCAAGACACAGGACAUCUGGCACCCCACGUUCCCUUGCCUCCUGGUAGCCAGCUGUCCCUCUGGUUUUGCUUUUCUAGAAUGCCUAGGUGGGCUUGACGGAGUGUAGCUCAAGUCAGCUCCUCCCCUGUAUCAGGCGUUUUUCUCCAAGUACUGGGGAUUGAACUCAGGGCACUGUGCUUGGUAACCAAGCACUCUGCCACUGAGCUACCCAGUCCUGCUGAGCUGGACUCUCAGGUCACCCUGCAGUCCCUGUCCACUGCUGAGUGCAUUCCAUCACAUGCAGUGCCACUGUGAGUCGUCCACUCACAUUGAAGUGUGGGCAGGCUCAGCAGUUAGGAACCUCCGCCGUGUGCCUCUGGACACAGUCUCCAUAUUUUUUUCUCAGUGCACUAGCUGUACACAGUGGGAUUUGUGGUUGUAGAUCGUUAGGUGUCACAGUGUCACAGGAUCAUUUGGCCAUGUCACUCCCCAGUAUUUCCCGGCCCCCUCUUCUCUCCCCUUGGUCCUUUCCCCUACCGAUGUCCCACCAGUUUUCAUGAGAUCCCCUCAACUUCCUGUCCCUUUUUUCUCUCUGUCUUCCACAUGUGCCAGAAAAUAUUAAUCUUGACCCUCAGAGUUCAGCUUAUUUGCUUAACAUAAUGGUCUCAAGUUGUAUCCAAUUUCCUACAAAGACACAAUUUCAUUCUUCUUUAUGGCUGACUUAAACUCCGUUGUAUACGUAUACCACAUUUUCUUUUUUUAAAAAUUCAUUCUAAUUUGUUAUACAUGACAGCAGAAUGUGUUUCAAUUCAUAGUACACAUAUAGAGCAUGAUCUUUUAUAUCACACCAUUCGUGUCUCCAUACAUGUACUUAGGGUGACCAUGUCCAUCUCAUUCCACCAUCUUUCCUACUUCCACUCCCCUCCCUUCCUCUCCCUCCCCUUUCCCAUCUGAAGUCCCUCCAUUCCUCCCAUGCUAUCCCCUCCAGCCCCAUUGUGAAUCAGCCUCCUCAUGUCACAGAACGCCUUCGGCACGGGGUUCAUCCCAGGGAUGCAAGGUGGGUCCGACGUACGGAAAUCAAGAGAUGUGAUUCAUCACAUCAACAGACUGAAGAUAAGAAUCCCACGCCCGUCCCGUCUCAGUAGAUGCAGAGAAAGUGCAGUGCACAUCUAUCUGCUGGCCGCAUGGGCAGAAUCCGUUUCAGAUAGACCUACCUUGUUUUACCCAACGGCCCUUGAUCACCAUUAGGCAGAAAAUGAAAUAACGUUUUUUUGAAGAAGUUUUUGUAAAGUAUUGAAUGAAACUUUGGUGAAUUGAUCUGCUCAGCAGUCCCUCUGUCCUCCUGGUGUUUGGUCAUGGUAGUCUCAAAGAAGACCCAAAAAGCUCCACCAGGAAAUUUUUAGAACUAAUAAAUGAAUUCAGCAAAGUAGCAGGAUCAGCACCCCAAAAUCAAAGGCAUUUCUGUAUAUCAGUGACAAAUCCUCUGAAAGGGAAACGAGGAAAACUACCCCACUAACAAUAGCCUUAAAAAAAAAAAAUUAAAUAGUUGGGAAUCAACUUAAUGAAAGACCUCUACAGUGAAAACUACAGAAGGAAAUUAAAGAAGACCUUAGAAGAUGGAAAGAUCUCCCUUGCUCUUGGAUAGGCAGAAUUAACAUUGUCAGAAUGACUAUACUACCAAAGGCACUAUACAGAUUCAGUACAAUUCCAAUCAAAAUCCCAAUGACAUUCCUCAUAGAAACAGAAAAAGAAAUCAUGAAAUUCAUCUGGAAAGAUAAGAGACCCAGAAUAGCUAAAGCAAUCCUUAGCAGCAAGAGUAAAGCAGGUGGCAUCACUCUACUAGACCUUAAACUAUACUACAGAGCCACAGUAACAAAAACAGCAUGGUAUUGGCACCAAAAUAGCCUUGUAGACCAAUGGUACAGAAUAGAGGACACAGAGGCUAACCCACACAACUACAAUUACCUUAUAUGAGACAAAGGUGCCAAGAGCAUGCACUGGAGAAAAGACGGCCUCUUCAACAAAGGGUGCUGGGAGAACUGGAGAUCCAUACGCAGCAAAAUGAAAUUGAACCCCUCACUCUCACCAUGCACAAAACUCAAAGCGGAUCAAGAACCUAGGAAUUAAACCAGAGACCCUGUGCCUAAUAGAAGAAAAAGUAGGCCCAAAUCUGUCAUGUUGGAUUAUGCCCCAACUUCCUUAAUAAGACUCCUGUAGUGCAAGAAUUAAAACCAAGAAUUAAUAAUGGGAUGGAUUCAAACUAAAAAGUUUCUUCUCAGCAAAAGAAACAAUUGGGGAGGGUGAACAGAGAGCCUACAGAAUGGGAGCAAAUUUUUACCACACGCACAUCAGAUAACAUCAAAAGAACAAAUGAUCCAAUCAAUCAAUGGGCCAAGGAACUGAACAGACACUUCUCAGAAGAGGAUAUACAACCAGCCAGCAAAUAUAUGAAAAAAUGUCCAACGUCUCUAGCAAUUAGAGAAAUGCAAAUUAAAGCUACUCUAAGAUUUCGUCUCACUCCAGUCAGAAUGGCAGCCAUUAAGAAUACAAACAGGGGCUGGGGCUCCGUGGUAGAGCGCUCACCUUGCACAUGCGAGGCUCUGGGUCUGAUCCUCAGCACCACAUAAAAAUAAAUAAAGUAUAUAAACAAAAGAAGACAAACAACAAUAAGAGUUGGCAAGGAUGUGGGGAAAAGUUAUGCUCAUACACUGCUGGUGGUACUGCAAACUGGUGCAGCCAAUGUGGAAAGCAGUAUGGAAAUUCCUUGGAAAAUUGGAGUGGAACUGCCAUUUGGCCCAGCUAUCCCUCUCCUCGGACUCUACCCAAAGGACUUAAAAUCAGCACACUACAGGGACACAGCCACAUCAGUGUUAAAGCAGCACAGUUCACAACAGCUAAACUGUGGAGCCAACCUAGAUGCCCUUCGGUAGAUGAAUGAUAAAGAAAAUGUGGUCUAUACACAAUGGAAUACUACUCAGCAUUAAAAGAGAAUAAAAUCAUGGCAUUUGCAGGUAAAUGGAUGGAGUCGGAGACUACACCAUAUUUUCUUUAUCAUUCAUCUGGUGGGCACCUAGGCUGGUUCCAGGGUUUGGCUGCUGUGAAUCAGGCUGCUGCAAACAUGGGCUGGCUCAGUGGGUUGAGUGCUUGCUUUGCAUGCACAAGGCCCUGGGUCUGAUCCCCAGUGCCACAAGAAAAAAAUAAGGUAAACAUGGCUUGCAUGUAUUGCUGUAGUAAGAUGAUUUUAAUGCUUCAGGGUAAAUAGUGAGGAGGGGUACCACUGGUCCUAUGGUGGUUUCAUGCCUAGUCUUUUUUUUUAUAUUUAGUUGUAGUUAUUAAUACCUUUAUUUAUUUAUUUAUUUUCAUGUGAUGCUGAGGAUUGAACCUAGGGCCUUGUGUGUAGGUGAGUGCUCCCUGCUGAGCCACGCCCAGCCCCUCAUGCCUAGUCUUUUGAGGAGCCUCCAUACUGAUCUCCUCGGUGGUUGUAACAAUUUAAAUCCCAGCAAGAGCGUAAAGUGUCCCCUUUGUCCCCUCUCCAGCACUUGUUGUUUGUAUUCUUGAUGACUGCCCUUCUGACUGGGGUGAGAGGAAGUCUCAGUGUAGUUUUGAUUUGCAUGUCCCUAUUUGCUAGAGAUGUUGAGCAUUUUUUCAUGUGUUUAUUGGCCUUUUGUAUUUCUUCUUUGGAGAAGUGUCUGUUUAAUUCAUUUUCCCACUCAUUGAUUGGGCUGUUUUUCUCUUGUGAGGUUUUGUGAGUUCUUUAUAUAUUCUAGAUAUUAACUCUCUGUCAGAAGAGGAGUCAGCCAAGGUUUCUCCUAUUCUGUAGAUUCUCUCUUCAUGCUCUAGUUGCCUUUGCUGUGCAAAAGCUUUUGAAUUUGAUGCCAUCCCAUAUAUUAAUCCUGGGUAUUCCUUCUAGCUUUAGGAGUCCUGUUGAGGAAGUCCAAGCCUGCAUCCACCUAUACAGGUGUGUUGAUCUUAUGUUCUCUUCUAGGAGUUGCAUGGUUUGGGGUCUGAUUCCUAGGUCUGUGAUCCAUUUUGAGUUGACUUCUGUGCAGGGUGAGCAAUAGGGAUCCAUUCUCAUUCUUCUACAUAUGUAUGACCAGUUUUAUCAGCAACAUUUGUUAAAAAGGUGCCUUUGCUCCAAUCUGUUUUAGGCACCUUUGUGAAGGGUCAGAUGAUGGUAUCUGUGUGGGUUUGUCUGUGUCUUCUAUUCUGUUGUUCUGUGUGUCUGUUUUAUGCCAGUACCAUGCUGUUUUUUUUACUAUAGCUCUUUAGUAUAAUUUGAAGUCAGAUAUUUGAUGCCUCUAGCCUGGCUCUUAUUGCUCAGAAUUGCUUUGGCUACUCUGAGUCUUUUAUUCUUCUAAAGGAAUUUUAGACUGUUUCCCCUCUUGUUCUGUGAAGAAAGUCAUUGGUGUUUUGACGGGAUUGCACUGAUCUGUAUGUGCUUUUGGAAAGGUGCCAUUUGGACAGUGUUAAUUCUGCACGUCUGUGGACACGGAGGGCUUCCCAUCUUCUUGUGUCUCCUUCCGUUUCUUUCUUCAGUGUAGUUCUGUAGAGGUCUUUUACUUCCUGGGUCAGAUUCCUACGUGUGUGUGUGUGUGUGUGUGUGUUUGUGGUUUUAGGUUUUUGUGAAUGGGAUAAUUUUCCUGAUUUCUUUCUCAGCAGAUUCAUUAUCUGUGUAGAGGAAAGCUAGUGAUCUUUGUAUGUUGAUUUUGUAACUUGUUGUUUGCUGAAUGUGUUCAUCGGCUUGAGCUUUCUGCAUGGUCUGAGUACAGGACCCACCAUCUGAAGCACCAGUGACGUGACCUCUUCCUUUUGUGUUUCUGUCCCUUUCCUUCCUCUCCUGCCUGGUGGCUAGAGUGUCUGUGCUGUAUUAAUGAGAGUGGUCAGAGUGCACACCCCUGUCUUGCUCCAGGUUUUAAAGAAGGGCUCUCGAGCAGGUUAUGACUCUCCAAGUUGCUCAGGUUGGCUCUGAGUUCUUGAUCGUCCUGCCUCAGCCUCCCAAGCUGCUGGGAUCAUAGGUGUGCACCAUAUUCUUGCAACCCUGGAAUAAAACCACCUUGUUCAUGGUGUGCAGUCUUCUUAAUGUGUUCAACACAGCUUGCUGAUACUAAGGUUUCUUUGCAUGUAUGGUCAUCAGAAAUAUUGGUCUGUAGUUUUACUCUUUCUUUCUCUCUCUCUCUCUCUCUCUCUCUCUUUCCUGGGGAUUGAACCCAAGAGCAAUUUACCAUAUCCCCCAGCUCUGUUUAUUUAUUUAAAUAUUUAUUUUUUAGUUGUAGUUGAACACGAUAUCUUUUUUAUUCAUUUAUUUAUUUAUUUCUGUGUGGUGCUGAGGAUCGAACUGGGCCGCCCACAUGCUGGGCGAAUGCUCUACUGCUGAGCCACAACCUCAGCCCUAUUUAUUUAUUUUUUUGAGACAGGUUCUCACUAAGUUAUUUGGGGCCUUACUGAAUUAUCAAAGCUGGCCUUAAACUUGGGAUCCUCUUGUUUCAGCCUCCCUAGCCACUGGGAUUACAGGCAUGACCCACUGCGCUCAGCUAAUCUGUAGUUUUCUUUCCUUGAUGUGUCCUUAUGUGGUUCUGGUAUGAGUGUGAUACUGGCUUCAUAGAAUGAAUUUGAAAGUGUUCCUUCCUUGGGCCGGGGAUGUGGCUCAAGCGGUAGCGCGCUCGCCUGGCAUGCAUGCGGCCCAGGUUCGAUCCUCAGCACCACAUACAAACAAAGAUGUUGUGUCCGCCGAAAACUAAAAAAUAAAUAUUAAAAUUCUAAAAAAAAAAAAAGUGUUCCUUCCUUUUGUAUUUCAUGGAAUAAUUUGGGGACCAUUAGGACUAAUUCUACUUUAAAGUUCUGGUAGAAUUCAGGUAAAAAUCCAUCUGGUCCUGGGUGCUUUGUUGUUGUUGAAAGGUUUUUUAUUGCGUCGUCUGUCUUAUUGUUAGUUAUUGUCCAUUCAGGUUUUCCAUGUCUCCUUGAUUUAAUUGUGGCAGGCUGUCUGUGUCUAUAAACACAUCCAUUUCUUCUCCUUUUCAAUGUAUGGGAGUAUAGAUUUUCAAGAUAGCCCCUAAUGAUCCUCUGGAUUUCUGAUGUCUGUGGUGGUUUUUCAUUACUUUUUUUUAUUAAUUUGGUUUUUUAUUAAUUUGUGUCUUCUCUAUUUUGCUUUGCUCAGUUUGACUAAGGGUUUAUCAAACUUACUUACCUUUUCAAAGAACCAGCUCUUUGUGUCCUGAUCCUUUGCUGGUUGCUCAUUCUGGAUCUUUCUGGGUUUCUUAUGGAGACUUUCAUGGCCGUGACUUCCCUCUCAGAACUGCUCGCUGGGGUCCCAGAGGCCACCAGGUGUGUUGGACGUUGGUCUCAUUCUCUUCACCCAGUCACCGUUCUGAAGUGUACCAUUCAUCUCCAGUGUUUAGAGGAUCUCUGUAGUUUUUCAUGAUAAUAUCUCAUUUUUUCCAUUAUGACCUGAUAAGAUGCAAAGAAUCAUAUUGGGUUCUUUUUGUUUGUUUGUUUUUGCAUUUGCCAAGAGUGGCUUUGUGGCCUAACUGUGGUCUGUUUUGUAAAAGGUUCCAUGAGCAUCUGAGGGAAAAGUGCAUUCAGCUCCAGUUGGGUCAGAUAUUCUUUGGACGUUUAUUAAGUCCAUUUUGUUUUUAUUUUUAAGGAGCCGUCCCUGAGUUGGUGUCUGGGUGACCUAGGGGUUGGUGAGAGGUGUGUGGAGAUCGUCCACGGCUGUUGUCCUGGGGCCUGAGUCUCCCAGUUGACUGGUGUCUGUUGAUGUCAGGAGGCGAUAUAAACGAUUAUGGUUGUUGAAUCCUCUCGUUGGAUUGUUCCUUUAGGUCUUUGUCUUUUCUGGUUGACUUUGGGCUGAAGUCUGCGUGGUCAGGUGUGAGAGUAGCUACUCCUGCUUGGUUGGGGCUCCAUUCCCAUGGGAGAUCAGUUUCCACCCAUUCACUUUCAGCCUGUGGCUGUCUUUGCCAACAACAUACAGUUGGUCUGUUUUUUUGAAUCCGUUCUGCCAGCCUAGGUCUUUUUCUUUUUUUGGCUCUGGAGAUUUAAUCCAGGGUUAGUUUACCACUGAAUUGCACCCUAGCCCUUUCUAUUUUUUAUUUUGCAAUAGGGUCUUACUAAGUCACUUAGGGUCUCACUAAGUUAUUGAGGCUGUUUUUAAAUUUGCAAUCCUCCUGCCUCAGCCUCCCGAGUGUGCCACCACGCCUGGCUAACCUACGUCUUUAACUGGAGAGUGAAGAUGAUUUACAUUCAGGCUUAUCACAGGGAGAUGUUAUUAAUUCCUGCCGUUGUGACUGGUCUCUGGUGUUUACCUGUCCUGUUUCCCAUUCGCUGAGCUGUGCUUCAGACGAGGUCUGUCCUGGGAGCACUGGAGUCUGAGGCCCAUUUCUUCUGUGUGGCGAGUCCUCCCGGGGGUGCCAGCUGAGUCACCAUGGGUUCUUUUAGUUUCUGCUAAUCUUCAGGGACUUGAAGGGUGACUUGGCUGGAGACACAAAUCUUGCUUGACAGCUUCUCUUUCAGGACUCAGACCUUUCUACGUCCUCCUGGGUUCCUGCGUUGGUGCUGAACGGUCAGAAGGGUCUCUGAUCGUCCUGCCUUUAGAUGUGACCUGCACUCUUCUCCUGAGGCUUUUGAAGUCCUAUCCUUGUUUUUGUUUUGUUUUAUUUUAAUCAUAAUGAGUUUGGAAAAGCUCUUUUUUGAUCUUGUCUAUUUGGAGUUUGAAUGUGUCCUGUAUCUGGAGGUCCAUCUCAGCCUCAAGGUUUGGAAUUUUUUCUGUUAUUAUUUCCCUGAAGAGAUGAUUCAUUCUACAACCCUCUUCAAUUCCAACCACUUUUUUUUUUUUUUUUGGUACCAGGGAUUGAACUCAGGGCACUCGACCCCUGACCCACAUCCCCCGCCCUAUUUUGUAUUUUAUUGAGAGACAGGGUGGGAGUUUGCACAGCACUUUGCCGUUGCUGAGGCUGGCUUUGAACUUGUGAUCUCCUGCCUCAGCCUCCCGAGCCACUGGGAUGACAGGUGUGGGCCACUGAGGCUGGCUUCGUCUUUUCUCUUGACUGGGUCUAGCUGAUCAGCAGCUUCUCCACCCUGUGAGGCUGCAGUGCUCCAGUAGAUCCUGAGCACCUCACAAGAAAAGGAGAGACAGAAAAGCAACAGGCGGGGCCCGGUGGCGCUCGCUCGGGAGGCUGAGGCAGGAGGAUGGCAAAUUCAAAGCCAGCCUCAGCAACUUAGCAAGGCCCUGUCUCAAAAUAGAAUGAUUUUUAAGAAAGGGCUAAGAAUGUGACUCUGUGGUUAAGUGUCCCUGGGUUCAAUUCCUGGUACCGGGGGCCGGAGCAGGGGGUGGGGGGAACAAAACAGAAACAACAGAAGCAGACAAGACACAGUGUUAUGAUAAACACCCAGUACCCACCGUCCUAUCUCAGUCCUACUGAACACAAAACAGGGACGUAGGGUCAGCAGCUUCCAACAAGAAAAACAAUCAAUAGCCCAGAACUGGCUACAACAUUUAAGUAAACAGUAGGUGUCAACUCUGCCAUCCCUGGUACUAAUGACUCUUGACAACAUGAGUGGUGUUGGGUGAGGAACUGUAGACACUAGUUCCAAACAGUGGUAAAAUAUAGUUCAUUAAGAGAAGGGAGAAUGUGUGGGGAAGGUAGAAGAAAGUUUGGGAUGUUUAAAAUGGGAACAAAGAGACUGCAAAAGAGAUGUGACAAGUGAUUCUGGCUGUGCCUGGUGGCCCACGCUGUCAUCCCAGUGGCUCGGGAGGCUGAGGCAGGAGAUCACACGUUCAAAGCCAGCCUCAGCAGCAGCAAAGUGCUACGCACACUCCGACCCUGUCUCUCAAUGAAGCACAGCAUCGGGUGGGGACAGGGGAUCUGCUACUGGAGGGAGAGGAAAGGAGACAAAGAGGAACAAACCCCAAACUCUGACCCCGGAAAGACAGGCAGAGAGCUCAGAGAUGCGGCCACGAGGAAGACGGAAGCCGUGAGUGUGCAUGUGCGGGACCAGCAAGCACACAGACAAGACCAGGCCCCGAACAAGAGGGGGCAGUGAAGGGUCGUCCCCACGGAAGGGCGCAACGUCGCUCCUGUGCCCACUGAGCACUCAGAAAGCUGCAGAGGGAGGGCGGGCUUGGUGCUGCUCACCCCUGCCCCCGGGAGGCCCAGGACGGGGCGCAGUGGCUCUCAGCCCCCCUCGUCAGCAGCUAGGGUAGGACGGGGUGGCCAGUGCCGCCAGCUGGACUGUGCCCAUGAGGACGAGGUGGACGCACUCCCAGGCGGGCAGCAGCGAUGCUUAUGAGGAGUCUCAGUGGCUGGGCGUGGGCUGUGGAGGCCGGCCGGGGUUGGGGUGGGAGAUCAGGUCAACACACCCCCAGGGCCUGGCAGCUGGGCGCCAGGUCUCAGGAGCCUCCCGAGAACUCUGCUCACAGGGCAGGUGGGGGUCACCCUCCGCCCGCUCUGCUGCCCUCAGUCACAGCUCCCAGGAUGAGUCCCCGUGUGCACUCACACCCACCUGUCCAGAUCCCCGCCCGCUUUGGCUGGUCACGCGAGCCACCAGAGUCCAGGGGAAAGCGAGUUGGGCUCCCCUCUGUGUCCCUUGGUGGACACCCCCCAGUCCCGUUCUUCUGGGCACACCCUGGGCCAUGCGCUGGGCACUUGCUGGGACAGGUUUGCUGGGGUCUCCAGCUCUACAGCAGCAAGCUGCAGUGUGGCCUCCUCAAGACGGCCCCCACCUCAGCUGCCCACGGCCAGGUGAGAAGCUGCACCUUCCAGACACCAGAUGGCUGUGCAGGCCCUGGAUCAGCUGAGCUCAGGCUGCCUUUCUGAUCCACAGGACCCUGUGCCACAUGUGUCCCCUGUGGUGCUGUGUCCUCCCUGUCCCCUGAGGUGAGCCAGCACCACUGUCCCUGCUGCCACUCCUUGGCUCCAGUGUGCUCUUUUCUUUCUUUUUAAUGCACCCAAAUUUCUGAGUCUCUAAAAGACUCUUGUCAGAUGCUGAAUGCCAUUGGAGUCCCUCCGUCACCACCUCACUGAGGACCUGUGUCCCAGCACUUGAACCCUGAGCCCUGGACUCUGCCAUCUGGACUCCCCCGAGCCCUGUCUUUGGAGCGUGUUGUGCAGCCCGUAACACCCGGGGAGGGGCGAGGGAGGGGAGAGGGGCCUGGGGGGAGAUGUACGUUGAGCUCCAUGGGAAACUCCGAGCUGUUUUCCAAAAAGGAGGUGUGUGACGUUCCCAGAGCUGGGCGGGAGUUCUGCUCUGUGUCUGCGAGUGCUCGGGGCUUUGGGUCAGGACAGGUCUAUGUUUUCAGUGCUGAGGAUUGAGCUGGGGCCUGAUGCAUGCUAGGCAGGAGCCACACCCCUGGCCCAGGCAGUAUUAAUUUUAUUUAUUUCUAGUACAGGGAAUCAAACCCCUCCUGCCUCAGCCCCAUGAUGCGUGCACGGCAGCGGCUCCGGGCAGCCUUUCUGCAGUCCCUGCUGGGGUGGUGCCUCACCCUGGGUUGACCUGUGCUGAGCGGUCUGCGUCUCCCGUGGGCUCCGCUACCUAAGGCUGUGCUGCUGCUCUGAUCAAGUCUGCUCAGACCUUGUGCUCCUCUUUGAAUUGGGUUCUUUUCUUACUGAGUUUUAAGAGAUGUUUGUAUAUUCUGGGUGCAAGCUCUUUCUCAGAUAUAUGACUUGUAAGUAUUUUCUUGCAAGUCUGUUGCAUGCUUGUCUUUUUAAUUCUUUGUUUUUUAAAUAUCUUCUUAGUUGUCAAUGGACUUUAUUUAUUUUUAUGUGGUGCUGAGAAUCAAACCCAGUGCCUCACACAUGCUAGGCAAGCGCUCUACCCCUGAGCCCCAGCCCCGCCCUUUAAUUCUUAAUAAUGCCUUUCAAAAGUAGAAGUCUAAUUUUUUUUUGUGGGGGAGGGUAAGCUGCUUAGGGCCUUGCUGAGUUGCUGAGGCUGGCUUUGAAGUUGUGAUCCUCCUGCCUCAGCCUCCUGAGCCACUGAGAUUACAGGCAUGUGUCACCGUGCCCAGCUACAAGUUUAAAUUUCUUAAAGACCAGUUUACCUGGUUUUUGUCUGUGGAUCAUACUCUUGGUGUCUUGUCUGGUAGAUCCUUGCUGAGCACAAGGUCACACAGAUCUGCCAUGUUCUUUCCUAGAAGUAUUAAGAGGUCCCGGCCCAGCUGUCCCAGCACCUCGAGUGGCGACAACUCUUUUCCCUGUGCACCUGGUGGCUGGUGCAGUCCAGCGGUGACAGUGCCUCCCAAGCCCUGAGCUGCCUUCUGGCUGCAAAGCCAGCGUGCGGCUCUUGGCUCUGGCCCUGCCCCGCCGGGCUCUGGCGCCACCCUCACUUUGUUUGCUGUGUGGACUUCAGAAUCGUCCUGUUGGUCUCUGGAACAGACGGUGGGAUUUUGAGUGGGACUGUCUGUAGAACAUUUGGGAGGGAGCCUCCAGCAUGAGGAGGUCAUGUCCCCAUGCUCAUUCGGAUCCUUGCAUGUCUUUCAUCAGUAUCUUAGAGUCGGCGAGACCCAGAGUCUGUGGGUCCUGGACUCCAUGGGUCUGGGCCUGAGCUCACCGUGUUCCUCACUUCAGGGUCUUCUUCCUUUUGACCUUUACUUCCUCCUCUUCCUUCCCUGUUCUCCUUUAUCCCUUCUUUUCUCUUUUCUCCUUCUUCUGUUUUUUGUUGGUUGGUCUGUUUUUGAGAUAGGUUCUCACAGAGCUGCCCAGCCUGGCCUGGGACUUGGGAUCCUCCUGCCUCGGCCUCCUGAGUUGGAUUUCGGAUGGCAUGGAGUUAGAAAUGGGCAGACGGUUGGUUUUAGGUGUUGACUUUUUAUCCUGUGGCUUUGCAUUUUUGUCAGUUCUUUGCAGUUUUCCACAUGGAACAUCAUGACUUCUUGAAAUCAUGGUUUCCCGCUUCCUUCCCCUCCUGAUGUCUCUAUUCCUCCUGCCUCGUCAUCAGUUAGGACCUGCAGUCCAGUGCUGGCACCGUGGUGGGAGCCGAGCUCUCCCCACAGGGACGCAGCCCUGGCCUUCCCUGUGAGGCCUUCCCGCUGCCCAGGCCCCUGUGGCUAGUUGGUCGAGCUCCCUCCUCCCCUGGCUCCUGGAAGAGUCUGUGCAGCCUCCCUUCUUCCCAGUUGCUGUUAAGACUGGGCCCAGCAGAUUGAACCACUCGGGGCCCUUGCCCCAGGAGCCACGUUCCCAGCCCUGUUUUGGAUUGGAUUUAGAGACGGGGUCUCACUGAAUUAUUUAGCACCACGCUGAAUUGCUGAGGCUGGCUUUGAACUCACGAUCCUCCUGCCUCUGUCUCACCUCCUGAGCCGCUGGGAUUACAGGGGUGCACCACCACACCUGGCUGUAGGACGUUUUUAACUAUGAAGUCACCUUCUUUUUGGGGGGGUCCCAGGGAUUGAACCUGGGGUGCUUAACCACUGAGCUCCAUUCCCAGCCCUUUUUACAUUUUAUCUUGAGACGUGGUCUCAGUAGGUUGCUUAGGGCCUUGCUAAGUUGCCCAGGCUGGCUUCAAACCUGCCCUCCCUCCUGCCUUGGCCUCCUGAGGCUUGGGGUUACGGGCAUGUGUCCCUGCACCUGGUGAAGUUACCUUCUUUAGUCACCACAGCACCCUUUGGGUUUUCUCUGUUUCUGGAGUGAGCUCGAUUCCCUGGAAGGACUCGGAGAACUCGGCUGUGACGCCGUCAGGGCUGCGGCCCACGGGCACACCUCCUGUGCUCUCCUAGCCCAGCAGACACUGCAGUGCCUCUGCGGGGCCUAGACUCGGAGGCUGAGGGACAGGCUCCCCCAGCUGCGGCCCCAGGACUCCAGGCCCCGAGGGAAGGCGGGUGUCCGUGGACGUCAUGUAAAACGGCAUGGCGGUUUGGGAUACAUAAAAGAAUUGAGAGCAGCUUCUCAGAGAUUCUCAUAUACACCUAUGGUCAUGGCAGCACUGUUCACAGUGGCCGCAGGUGGAAGCAACCCAGUGUCCAUGGAAGAGUGAGUGGACAGACACAACAGGCCUGUCCGUACAGUGGAGUACCAUUUGUCCUUAAAAAGGGAGGAAACCCUUGCCCCCCUGCACCAUGGGUGGCCUAGAGGGCAUCUGUUGACAAGGGCACCUGCUGUGAGCCCACUCCUCUGAGGUCCCUAGGAGCCAUAUCCACGGGGACAGGCAGGGCUGGGAACAGGGAGGGUUUAGUGUCCAGUGGGCCCAGAGCGGCAGUCUGGGUGACGAGGCGGUGUGGAGAGGUGGCAGGGGAAGGGGUGACCACUGAGUGUGCCUGUUGGGCCUGGGCACUGGCCCUGUAACACCUGGCACCCUGCUCAGCCCUGGCCCUCUCCACACAGGCUCUUGUCACCUCGUCUCUCUAGGGAAGGUCUCCGCUUAAUCCCUUUAAACAGUUCUUGUGUCCCAUUUUUACUUGCUGUUGUAUGGCUGUUCUGCAUCUGCCUGACCGUUCAUCCCUCUGUUGGUCUUUUAGCCUUUUUCAUUUGAUAUGUCCCCGUCCUUCUUCCAACCAGUAGUUCCCCUCCACAUCGUCGCCUUCCUGAGUUGGGUCCUCUGUGUCCACCACGAGGAUCUUUCACACAGUAUUUCUGGGAUUCUUUCUGGUUCUGGGUUCAUGCUGCUAAUGGUGUCCCUUCCUUGGUGAGUCUCAGCUGAGACGUGUCCCUGGACUCGGCCUGAUACUGUGUUCGUAGUGUUCGUUUCUGACGGUUUAGUUUCUUUUUAACCCACGUGUUUUCUUGGUGAUCUUUAAAAGCCACCAGGUGGGUGUCAUGGCUACUGUGACUUGUGUGACUGCCUGUCAGAGUGAGUCUGGCCUGCUUGAUUUCUGCUCCUCAAGUUUGUUGAAUCAGAGUUGCUCACAGGGUUUCCUAGGAAGUUCUGUGUUUUUGUAGCGUGAUCUAGAAGCCUUGCUCGGGGCCUUCACAUCACUGUUUCUCCACGUGGCCUUUGGUUCCUAAGACGAGGGUAGCAGGAGUCUCCCGGGUCUGGCGCCGAUUUGCCCUUUCUCUGUUGUUCACGUUUUGCGUUUGGAGUUUCAAAGUGAGUGGACGGCUCAGAGCACCUGGGAGCACAGAGUCGUCGUCUUGUGGGAGCCUCUCCGUAAGACAGAGGACCGCAGCACCCAGCCGCCUGAGCUGCCUGGCCCUCGCGCGGUGGCCUGGGGGACUUCAGCCCAGCGCCUCUUCCUGACUGUGGCAGCUGAGGCAGGCGUCCCCAGGUGUAGGAGGCCAGCCAGGUGGCCCUUGUGUGACUGCCUGAGGCAGCGCCCUCGACCUGGCUCACGCACACUCUGGCCUUUCACCCAACCCAGCCUGAGAAGCCAGGCCCUGAUGGCGAAGACCUGGCAGCCGCUGACAGCGUGCGGGCCGUCAGUGUCCGCACCCUCUACCUGGUCAGCACCACGGUGGACAGGAUGAGUGACGUGAGUGGACGACCUCAGCAGGCCCUGCCUGGGCUGGCCCUCACCUGGCUCUCCCGGGGGCCCCGCCCCUCACCCUGCCCACCCCAGUCCUGGGUGACAGGUGAGCCGGGCGUUGCUCAGUGCUGCCUCCCUAGGGCAGUGCUCAGAGUCCCCUGACCUACAGCAGGACAAGUGAAGGGCACGUCCACACCUGAACUCUGCUCAGAGGGAGCCCUGGGCAGCCCCAGGGAGCGGCCCUGUUGGUGUGCUGGCUGCCCUGGCACUGACCGGGGCCCUCCGGGGCCUCUGCCCCCAGGUCCUCUGGCCCUACCUGAUGGAGUUCCUCGUCCCCGCGCACUUCACCGAGGCCCUGACCCCGCUCUGUCGGAGCCUGGUGCAUCUGGCCCUCAAGAGGCAGGAGGCGGGGGCAGAUGCCUUCCUGGUUCAGUUGGAGGCCCACGGUGCGCACUCCCCAGGCCCACGCUCACUUGACCCCGCCCUGUGCCUGUCCCUCUGAGUGACUCUCUCCAUGUCUCUUGUCCAGCCAACCUCCCGUCUCCCUACGCUGUGACCACCAGACUGCUGGUAAGCGCCGCUCUCCCAGCACACCAGCGGGCGCCCCCCACCCACCCCCAGCCCGCUGCUGGCUUGGCCCCAGCGCCUGCCUCCUGUGUCCCUGAAUCUCUGUCCCUGUCCACAUGGCUGCCAGGGCUGCCUUCUUGGUGGGGAGCCACCCCCCCUGUGGCCACAGGCUUUCUUCCCCGGGUUGGGCAGCCGGCACCUGUGUAGAUCCCUGUGGCCCUGGCGUGGUCCAGCUGAGCACACAUCUGCAGGGGCAGGUGUUACGAGGACGUCAGCUCCCUGCUCAGAACGCUCCCACCCCGCGCCCCCCAGGUCGUGUCUUCCAACCCCUACCUGGGGGACGGGCGUGGAGCCGCCUCGCUGCGCCUCCUGGGGGUCAUGCGCCAGAGCAUCCACCCUUUGCUGGCUCAGCCGUGGGAGACGGCCGUUCCUCUGCUGCUGGAGCACCUGGAGGGUGAGACCGGCCUCGCCUUGGCCAGGGGUGUGCGGGUUUGUGAGUCUGAAUGGACCCUCUUGGCUGGGGUCCAAGGCAGGGUCAGUAGAGGCUGCAGCCGGGGCACAGGGUGCCCGGGCUGCCAGGGCUGCAGCCUGGGAGGUGCGGGUACCCGCUGAGGUAGGCCUGCUCGGCAGCCCGGGCUGACGGGGUGCCCGGUGCUUUCAGCGCACACUGAGGAGACACUGUCCCUGCAGGAGUGGGAGGAAAAGCUGCUGACGGUGAGAGGAGGAGCCGACGGAGAGUGGCCUCUCUGUCCUGGGCAGGGCGGGCUUGGGGGACAGGCCUCGGGCUGUGCCCUCCUGGGGCCACACUGUCUGUGCACUUGGUGGUGUGGCUGGGUGAGGGGCACAGGAAUGGGGCGUCUUGGGUGAGGAUGGCAGUUGGCCUCCGCCCCAGCAGCCCAGGACACAGGGAGGGCCUUCCCUCCCACCCGCGCCUGCUGCAGGGCCGCUGCCUGCCCCCCCAGCCAGCCCCUCAUGGCUCCCUCGUUGGCAGUUCCUGUGGGACACCCUGGCCGUCGUCUCUGACAACACAUGGACCUGCCAGCUGAGCCUGGAGAUGCGCAAGCGGCUGCCAAGUUACAACAGGGUGCCCCAGGAGAAG